GGCUUGAGGGCUAUCUGGUUACAUCUGUCACUCCACUGAUGGCCAGGGUGGAUUGGCUGAUCUGGCUGCCUCGGCAGGUGUUCCGUUCCUCCCUCCCCACGGCUCCGUGCGUGUCCCUCCCAGAGCUGCAUGCUCAGUUGAUCAAAAGGACAAUCUUCCCUGCUAGAGGAGGAUGGUUCUUUGGUCAGGGGUGUAUAAGUACCUAAGCUCUCUUGGUAGGACCUUCAAACAAGCUCUCAGGGCCCAUUUGUAGAAGAAAAUGAGACUCCAGACACAUCCAAAUAAGGCACUGUGUGUGGUAGUCUGUCUUU
rnacentral:snRNA from 1 species